rnacentral:antisense_RNA from 1 species
GGGCUCCGAAAGGAGAGCGUGGUGUCUGGAGGUGAUCGGAAGGGACUGGCUGGAGUGUGGCGGGCUGACAGGUCUGAGGCCUGAAGGACUUCCGGGAACCGCAAAGCACGGUGUGCCUCCGUUGUCCUGAAGAAAAAGCCGCGCGCGGACGACUGGCCGGCCCACGCUUGCAGCUCCCAGAAGUUGACAGGCAUCCUCCGGUGACCGGUGUGAGUAUGGUAUCAGGAUGAUAUGACUGCAAGCAACAGAAAAAUCAAACAAAAAUGGCCCAAGCCAAGAAGAGAAAUGAUUAUUUCACAUUCCAAGAAGUUUGGGAGUCGAGUGGUUAAACGGCUAAUUAAUCUAGAGCUCAACAAUAUCACCCAGGACCCAUUUUCACUAUGGUGGCUAAAGCCCUGCACCCUUCAGGCUUGCACCAUGGCAGCAGCAGUGACAGUAAAGACACCCUUACACCACAAUGCUCCAUGACCAGGAAAAGGGUCUCCUCUCUCCUGCCCCUUUCUGGAGGCUCCACCGAAGAUUUCUCUUCACAUUCCGUUUCUCAUUCCUGAAGCAGUCGCUGGCAACAGGGAUGGACUUACCGCAUUGGGUACAGAGCAAUGAAGAUUCACCACUAGGUGAGUCCUUUGGAAAACACUUGGCCAUCCAAUAUAUAAACAAAUCUGGUACUCCUGUCAGGAAAGAGGUAGGUAAUUCCCAACAGCCAAUAGUGUCUGCCACAAGUGAAAUAUCUCAUCAGAGAAAACUGAGUAGGUAAUACAUGAUUCUGUGUUU